rnacentral:rRNA from 1 species
CUAUGUGUUGUUGGGUAGGGGAGCGUUCUGUAAGCCUGUGAAGGUGUACUGUGAGGUAUGCUGGAGGUAUCAGAAGUGCGAAUGCUGACAUAAGUAACGAUAAAGCGGGUGAAAAGCCCGCUCGCCGGAAGACCAAGGGUUCCUGUCCAACGUUAAUCGGGGCAGGGUGAGUCGACCCCUAAGGCGAGGCCGAAAGGCGUAGUCGAUGGGAAACAGGUUAAUAUUCCUGUACUUGGUGUUACUGCGAAGGGGGGACGGAGAAGGCUAUGUUGGCCGGGCGACGGUUGUCCCGGUUUAAGCGUGUAGGCUGGUUUUCCAGGCAAAUCCGGAAAAUCAAGGCUGAGGCGUGAUGACGAGGCACUACGGUGCUGAAGCAACAAAUGCCCUGCUUCCAGGAAAAGCCUCUAAGCAUCAGGUAACAUCAAAUCGUACCCCAAACCGACACAGGUGGUCAGGUAGAGAAUACCAAGGCGCUUGAGAGAACUCGGGUGAAGGAACUAGGCAAAAUGGUGCCGUAACUUCGGGAGAAGGCACGCUGAUAUGUAGGUGAAGUCCCUCGCGGAUGGAGCUGAAAUCAGUCGAAGAUACCAGCUGGCUGCAACUGUUUAUUAAAAACACAGCACUGUGCAAACACGAAAGUGGACGUAUACGGUGUGACGCCUGCCCGGUGCCGGAAGGUUAAUUGAUGGGGUUAGCGCAAGCGAAGCUCUUGAUCGAAGCCCCGGUAAACGGCGGCCGUAACUAUAACGGUCCUAAGGUAGCGAAAUUCCUUGUCGGGUAAGUUCCGACCUGCACGAAUGGCGUAAUGAUGGCCAGGCUGUCUCCACCCGAGACUCAGUGAAAUUGAACUCGCUGUGAAGAUGCAGUGUACCCGCGGCAAGACGGAAAGACCCCGUGAACCUUUACUAUAGCUUGACACUGAACAUUGAGCCUUGAUGUGUAGGAUAGGUGGGAGGCUUUGAAGUGUGGACGCCAGUCUGCAUGGAGCCGACCUUGAAAUACCACCCUUUAAUGUUUGAUGUUCUAACGUUGACCCGUGAUCCGGGUUGCGGACAGUGUCUGGUGGGUAGUUUGACUGGGGCGGUCUCCUCCUAAAGAGUAACGGAG